rnacentral:rRNA from 1 species
AGCUCCAAUAGCGUAUAUUAAAGUUGUUGCGGUUAAAAAGCUCGUAGUUGGAUUUCUGCCGAGGACGACCGGUCCGCCCUCAGGGUGAGCAUCUGGAUCGGCCUGGGCAUCCUCUUGGGGAACGUAGCUGCACUUGACUGUGUGGUGCGGUAUCCAGGACUUUUACUUUGAGGAAAUUAGAGUGUUUCAAGCAGGCUUCCGCCUUGAAUACAUUAGCAUGGAAUAAUAAGAUAGGACCUCGGUUCUAUUUUGUUGGUUUCUAGAGCUGAGGUAAUGAUUAAUAGGGAUAGUUGGGAGCAUUCGUAUUUCGUUGUCAGAGGUGAAAUUCUUGGAUUUCCGAAAGACGAACUACUGCGAAAGCAUUUACCAAGGAUGUUUUCA